rnacentral:rRNA from 1 species
AUUGAACGCUGGCGGCAGGCCUAACACAUGCAAGUCGAACGGUAACAGGAAGAAGCUUGCUUCUUUGCUGACGAGUGGCGGACGGGUGAGUAAUGUCUGGGAAACUGCCUGAUGGAGGGGGAUAACUACUGGAAACGGUAGCUAAUACCGCAUAACGUCGCAAGACCAAAGAGGGGGACCUUCGGGCCUCUCGCCUUCGGAUGUGCCCAGAUGGGAUUAGCGAGUAGGUGGGGUAAAGGCUCACCUAGGCGACGAUCCCUAGCUGGUCUGAGAGGAUGACCAGCCACACUGGAACUGAGACACGGUCCAGACUCCUACGGGAGGCAGCAGUGGGGAAUAUUGCACAAUGGGCGCAAGCCUGAUGCAGCCAUGCCGCGUGUAUGAAGAAGGCCUUCGGGUUGUAAAGUACUUUCAGCGGGGAGGAAGGGAGUAAAGUUAAUACCUUUGCUCAUUGACGUUACCCGCAGAAGAAGCACCGGCUAACUCCGUG